rnacentral:piRNA from 1 species
UCAUCAAAAUAUUCAAAUAUU